AGCAGCUCUGCAGUAUAAAAAGCAUUGCCAUACCCCAAACUGCUGGCCUGUGUUCAUCCCUGUGCUGUGGAUCCUGUGGCCAGAGCACAGUGGCUGCCUGAUGGAGAAAGCUGUGUUACUCAGUGAUUAAAAUGCAUGGUCUGGCCACUGGAAAAUGGAAAAAGCAGUUGCAAGGAGGCAAAGCACAUUCUGUAUUCCCUCUAUGUGGGUCAGAUAUUUUCCUAGGGACACUCAGAAAUGCCUGUGCUCUGCUAUUUCUGCUGGGUACUUUAUCCUUUAUUCUCUUGUUAUUGAAAGAGCUAAAUGUUUUCCCACUUUCCAAUGUACCAUGACAAUACAAACUGUACGGUGAUGUCGGAGCACAAAAUAAAUAUGGAUGCAGAUACUUGU